UUUAUGUAGGGGUUACUAAGAGCUCUGUUUUCUGUUUUUCUGUCUCUUUAUACUUUCUAUCCCAGAACAUCCACUCAUGAUUUAGGUACAAGUUCAAGAGCUCUUGAUCUCCAAAUUCAUUGCUCUGAUCUUUGAGUCUCAAAUUUUCAAGUCUUCCAUCUUUUUUCUCUUUUCUUCAUCUCUGUCUGCAGGAUUGAUGUGAAGGAUGGAGUUAGGAAAGAGAAGUUGAGCAGAGGUGCUCAAACAUUCCUCUGAAAAAUUCCACAUUUAUGAUCCUCAGAGAUUAGGUGACAUGACAUGCUCAUUUCAACCAUGAGAUCUAGGACCUCCUUCCUAAUGUUUCAUAUCCUGGUGUAAAUGAGUGAGAACACAUAAAGGCAGAAAGGGGGUAGAUUAAUGAGUCUAUUAAGGUACUUAGAAGCUUGAUGGCAAGCAUCAUAUCAUGGGGUCUUUAGAAUCCAUAUGUGAAAAAAGAACUUGC
rnacentral:lncRNA from 1 species